UACGGAGGGUGCGAGCGUUAAUCGGAAUUACUGGGCGUAAAGGGUGCGUAGGUGGUAUAUUAAGUUAUCUGUGAAAUACCUGGGCUUAACCUGGGCAGGUCAGAUAAUACUGAUGUACUCGAGUAUGGGAGAGGGUAGUGGAAUUUCCGGUGUAGCGGUGAAAUGCGUAGAGAUCGGAAGGAACACCGGUGGCGAAGGCGGCUACCUGGCCUAAUACUGACACUGAGGCACGAAAGCGUGGGGAGCAAACAGG
rnacentral:rRNA from 1 species